rnacentral:rRNA from 1 species
AUUGAACGCUGGCGGCAGGCCUAACACAUGCAAGUCGAACGGUAACAGAAAGCAGCUUGCUGCUUUGCUGACGAGUGGCGGACGGGUGAGUAAUGUCUGGGAAACUGCCUGAUGGAGGGGGAUAACUACUGGAAACGGUAGCUAAUACCGCAUAACGUCGCAAGACCAAAGAGGGGGACCUUCGGGCCUCUUGCCAUCGGAUGUGCCCAGAUGGGAUUAGCUUGUUGGUGGGGUAACGGCUCACCAAGGCGACGAUCCCUAGCUGGUCUGAGAGGAUGACCAGCCACACUGGAACUGAGACACGGUCCAGACUCCUACGGGAGGCAGCAGUGGGGAAUAUUGCACAAUGGGCGCAAGCCUGAUGCAGCCAUGCCGCGUGUAUGAAGAAGGCCUUCGGGUUGUAAAGUACUUUCAGCGGGGAGGAAGGGAGUAAAGUUAAUACCUUUGCUCAUUGACGUUACCCGCAGAAGAAGCACCGGCUAACUCCGUGCCAGCAGCCGCGGUAAUACGGAGGGUGCAAGCGUUAAUCGGAAUUACUGGGCGUAAAGCGCACGCAGGCGGUUUGUUAAGUCAGAUGUGAAAUCCCCGGGCUCAACCUGGGAACUGCAUCUGAUACUGGCAAGCUUGAGUCUCGUAGAGGGGGGUAGAAUUCCAGGUGUAGCGGUGAAAUGCGUAGAGAUCUGGAGGAAUACCGGUGGCGAAGGCGGCCCCCUGGACGAAGACUGACGCUCAGGUGCGAAAGCGUGGGGAGCAAACAGGAUUAGAUACCCUGGUAGUCCACGCCGUAAACGAUGUCGACUUGGAGGUUGUGCCCUUGAGGCGUGGCUUCCGGAGCUAACGCGUUAAGUCGACCGCCUGGGGAGUACGGCCGCAAGGUUAAAACUCAAAUGAAUUGACGGGGGCCCGCACAAGCGGUGGAGCAUGUGGUUUAAUUCGAUGCAACGCGAAGAACCUUACCUGGUCUUGACAUCCACAGAACUUUCCAGAGAUGGAUUGGUGCCUUCGGGAACUGUGAGACAGGUGCUGCAUGGCUGUCGUCAGCUCGUGUUGUGAAAUGUUGGGUUAAGUCCCGCAACGAGCGCAACCCUUAUCCUUUGUUGCCAGCGGUCCGGCCGGGAACUCAAAGGAGACUGCCAGUGAUAAACUGGAGGAAGGUGGGGACGACGUCAAGUCAUCAUGGCCCUUACGACCAGGGCUACACACGUGCUACAAUGGCGCAUACAAAGAGAAGCGACCUCGCGAGAGCAAGCGGACCUCAUAAAGUGCGUCGUAGUCCGGAUUGGAGUCUGCAACUCGACUCCAUGAAGUCGGAAUCGCUAGUAAUCGUGGAUCAGAAUGCCACGGUGAAUACGUUCCCGGGCCU